rnacentral:rRNA from 1 species
UUAAGUGACUAAGCGUACACGGUGGAUGCCUGGGCAGUCAGAGGCGAUGAAGGACGUACUAACUUGCGAUAAGCGCAGAUAAGGCAGUAAGAGCCGUUUGAGUCUGCGAUUUCCGAAUGGGGAAACCCAACUGCAUAAGCAGUUACUGUUAACUGAAUACAUAGGUUAACAGAGCAAACCGGGGGAACUGAAACAUCUAAGUACCCCGAGGAGAAGAAAUCAACCGAGAUUCCGGUAGUAGCGGCGAGCGAACCUGGAUUAGCCCUUAAGCACUCGGUGAAGUAGGUGAACAAGCUGGAAAGCUUGGCGAUACAGGGUGAUAGCCCCGUAACCGACGCUUCAUCGAGCGUGAAAUCGAGUAGGGCGGGACACGUGAUAUCCUGUCUGAAUAUGGGGGGACCAUCCUCCAAGGCUAAAUACUCCUGACUGACCGAUAGUGAACCAGUACCGUGAGGGAAAGGCGAAAAGAACCCCUGUGAGGGGAGUGAAAUAGAACCUGAAACCGUGUACGUACAAGCAGUAGGAGCACCUUCGUGGUGUGACUGCGUACCUUUUGUAUAAUGGGUCAGCGACUUAUAUUCAGUGGCAAGGUUAACCGUAUAGGGGAGCCGUAGCGAAAGCGAGUCUUAACUGGGCGUUCAGUCUCUGGAUAUAGACCCGAAACCGGGUGAUCUAGCCAUGGGCAGGUUGAAGGUUGAGUAACAUCAACUGGAGGACCGAACCGACUAAUGUUGAAAAAUUAGCGGAUGACUUGUGGCUAGGGGUGAAAGGCCAAUCAAACUCGGAGAUAGCUGGUUCUCCCCGAAAGCUAUUUAGGUAGCGCCUCGGACGAAUACUACUGGGGGUAGAGCACUGUUAAGGCUAGGGGGUCAUCCCGACUUACCAACCCUUUGCAAACUCCGAAUACCAGUAAGUACUAUCCGGGAGACACACGGCGGGUGCUAACGUCCGUCGUGGAGAGGGAAACAACCCAGACCGCCAGCUAAGGUCCCAAAGUAUUGCUAAGUGGGAAACGAUGUGGGAAGGCUCAGACAGCUAGGAUGUUGGCUUAGAAGCAGCCAUCAUUUAAAGAAAGCGUAAUAGCUCACUAGUCGAGUCGGCCUGCGCGGAAGAUGUAACGGGGCUAAGCAAUACACCGAAGCUGCGGCAAUAUCUUUUAGAUAUUGGGUAGGGGAGCGUUCUGUAAGCCGUUGAAGGUGAAUCGUAAGGUUUGCUGGAGGUAUCAGAAGUGCGAAUGCUGACAUGAGUAACGACAAAGGGGGUGAAAAACCUCCUCGCCGGAAGACCAAGGGUUCCUGUCCAACGUUAAUCGGGGCAGGGUGAGUCGACCCCUAAGGUGAGGCCGAAAGGCGUAAUCGAUGGGAAACGGGUUAAUAUUCCCGUACUUCUGACUAUUGCGAUGGGGGGACGGAGAAGGCUAGGUGGGCCAGGCGACGGUUGUCCUGGUUCAAGUGCGUAGGCUUGAGAGUUAGGUAAAUCCGGCUCUCUCUAAGGCUGAGACACGACGUCGAGCUACUACGGUAGUGAAGUCAUUGAUGCCAUGCUUCCAGGAAAAGCCUCUAAGCUUCAGAUAGUCAGGAAUCGUACCCCAAACCGACACAGGUGGUCGGGUAGAGAAUACCAAGGCGCUUGAGAGAACUCGGGUGAAGGAACUAGGCAAAAUGGUACCGUAACUUCGGGAGAAGGUACGCUCUUGAUGGUGAAGUCCCUCGCGGAUGGAGCUGACGAGAGUCGCAGAUACCAGGUGGCUGCAACUGUUUAUUAAAAACACAGCACUGUGCAAAAUCGCAAGAUGACGUAUACGGUGUGACGCCUGCCCGGUGCCGGAAGGUUAAUUGAUGGGGUUAGCGCAAGCGAAGCUCUUGAUCGAAGCCCCGGUAAACGGCGGCCGUAACUAUAACGGUCCUAAGGUAGCGAAAUUCCUUGUCGGGUAAGUUCCGACCUGCACGAAUGGCGUAAUGAUGGCCACGCUGUCUCCACCCGAGACUCAGUGAAAUUGAAAUCGCUGUGAAGAUGCAGUGUACCCGCGGCUAGACGGAAAGACCCCGUGAACCUUUACUACAGCUUGGCACUGAACAUUGAACCUACAUGUGUAGGAUAGGUGGGAGGCUAUGAAGACGUGACGCCAGUUGCGUUGGAGCCGUCCUUGAAAUACCACCCUUGUAUGUUUGAUGUUCUAACUUAGACCCGUUAUCCGGGUUGAGGACAGUGCCUGGUGGGUAGUUUGACUGGGGCGGUCUCCUCCCAAAGAGUAACGGAGGAGCACGAAGGUGGGCUAAUCACGGUUGGACAUCGUGAGGUUAGUGCAAUGGCAUAAGCCCGCUUAACUGCGAGAAUGACGGUUCGAGCAGGUGCGAAAGCAGGUCAUAGUGAUCCGGUGGUUCUGUAUGGAAGGGCCAUCGCUCAACGGAUAAAAGGUACUCCGGGGAUAACAGGCUGAUACCGCCCAAGAGUUCAUAUCGACGGCGGUGUUUGGCACCUCGAUGUCGGCUCAUCACAUCCUGGGGCUGAAGUCGGUCCCAAGGGUAUGGCUGUUCGCCAUUUAAAGUGGUACGCGAGCUGGGUUUAGAACGUCGUGAGACAGUUCGGUCCCUAUCUGCCGUGGGCGUUGGAAGAUUGAAGGGGGCUGCUCCUAGUACGAGAGGACCGGAGUGGACGAACCUCUGGUGUUCGGGUUGUGUCGCCAGACGCAUUGCCCGGUAGCUAAGUUCGGAAUUGAUAAGCGCUGAAAGCAUCUAAGCGCGAAGCGAGCCCUGAGAUGAGUCUUCCCUGA